CCUACGGGAGGCAGCAGUGGGGAAUAUUGCACAAUGGGGGAAACCCUGAUGCAGCAACGCCGCGUGAGUGAGGAAGUAUUUCGGUAUGUAAAGCCCUAUCAGCAGGGAAUAGAAAAGAAGGUACCUGAAAAAGAAGCCCCGGCUAACUACGUGCCAGCAGCCGCGGUAAUACGUAGGGGGCAAGCGUUAUCCGGAUUUACUUGGGGUAAAGGGAGGGUAGACGGAAAGGCAAGGCAGAAGUGAAAACCCAAGGCUCAACCCUAGGAAUGCUUUUGAAACUGUCAAACUAGAGUACGGGAGAAGUAAGCGGAAUGCGUGGUGUAGCGGUGAAAUGCGUAGAUAUUAGGAGGAACACCAGUGGCGAAGGCGUCUUACUGGAGCGAAACUGACGUUGAGGCUCGAAAGCGUGGGGAGCAAACAGGAUUAGAUAUCCUAGUAGUC
rnacentral:rRNA from 1 species